GAUGAACGCUGGCGGCGUGCCUAAUACAUGCAAGUCGAGCGAACGGACGAGAAGCUUGCUUCUCUGAUGUUAGCGGCGGACGGGUGAGUAACACGUGGAUAACCUACCUAUAAGACUGGGAUAACUUCGGGUAACCGGAGCUAAUACCGGAUGAUAUUUUGAACCGCAUGGUUCAAAAGUGAAAGACGGUCUUGCUGUCACUUAUAGAUGGAUCCGCGCUGCAUUAGCUAGUUGGUAAGGUAACGGCUUACCAAGGCAACGAUGCAUAGCCGACCUGAGAGGGUGAUCGGCCACACUGGAACUGAGACACGGUCCAGACUCCUACGGGAGGCAGCAGUAGGGAAUCUUCCGCAAUGGGCGAAAGCCUGACGGAGCAACGCCGCGUGAGUGAUGAAGGUCUUCGGAUCGUAAAACUCUGUUAUUAGGGAAGAACAUAUGUGUAAGUAACUGUGCACAUCUUGACGGUACCUAAUCAGAAAGCCACGGCUAACUACGUG
rnacentral:rRNA from 1 species